AUUGAACGCUGGCGGCAUGCCUUACACAUGCAAGUCGAACGGUAACAGGUCUUCGGAUGCUGACGAGUGGCGAACGGGUGAGUAAUACAUCGGAACGUGCCCGAGAGUGGGGGAUAACGAGGCGAAAGCUUUGCUAAUACCGCAUACGAUCUCAGGAUGAAAGCAGGGGACCGCAAGGCCUUGCGCUCACGGAGCGGCCGAUGGCAGAUUAGGUAGUUGGUGGGAUAAAAGCUUACCAAGCCGACGAUCUGUAGCUGGUCUGAGAGGACGACCAGCCACACUGGGACUGAGACACGGCCCAGACUCCUACGGGAGGCAGCAGUGGGGAAUUUUGGACAAUGGGCGCAAGCCUGAUCCAGCCAUGCCGCGUGCAGGAUGAAGGCCUUCGGGUUGUAAACUGCUUUUGUACGGAACGAAAAGACUCUGGUUAAUACCUGGGGUCCAUGACGGUACCGUAAGAAUAAGCACCGGCUAACUACGUGCCAGCAGCCGCAGUAAGAC
rnacentral:rRNA from 1 species